rnacentral:misc_RNA from 1 species
GAUGAAGAACGCAGUGAAAUGCGAUAAGUAAUGCGAAUUGCAGAAUUUCCGUGAGUCAUCGAAUCUUUGAACGCACAUUGCGCCCGCCAGUAUUCUGGCGGGCAUGCCUGUUCGAGCGUCAUUUCAACCAUCAAGCCCCCGGCUUGUGUUGGGGACCUGCGGCUGCCGCAGGCCCUGAAAACCAGUGGCGGGCUCGCUGUCACACCGAGCGUAGUAGAUUUUCAUCUCGCUCAGGGCGUGCUGCGGGUUCCGGCCGUAAAAAGCCUUAUUUACCCAAGGUUGACCUCGGAUCAGGUAGGAAGACCCGCUGAACUUAAGCAUAUCAAUAAGCGGAGGA